AAUAGAUACCCGGGUAGUCCACGCCGUAAACGAUGAGUGCUAAGUGUUAGAGGGGUUUCCGCCCUUUAGUGCUGCAGCUAACGCAUUAAGCACUCCGCCUGGGGAGUACGGUCGCAAGACUGAAACUCAAAGGAAUUGACGGGGGGCCCGCACAAGCGGUGGAGCAUGUGGUUUAAUUCGAAGCAACGCGAAGAAUCUUACCAGGUCUUGACAUCCUCUGACAACCCUAGAGAUAGAGCGUUCCCCCUUCGGGGGGACAGAGUGACAGGUGGUGCAUGGUUGUCGUCAGCUCGUGUCGUGAGAUGUUGGGUUAAGUCCCGCAACGAGCGCAACCCUUGAUCUUAGUUGCCAGCAUUUAGUUGGGCACUCUAAGGUGACUGCCGGUGACAAACCGGAGGAAGGUGGGGAUGACGUCAAAUCAUCAUGCCCCUUAUGACCUGGGCUACACACGUGCUACAAUGGAUGGUACAAAGGGCUGCAAGACCGCGAGGUCAAGCCAAUCCCAUAAAACCAUUCUCAGUUCGGA
rnacentral:rRNA from 1 species